CCUACGGGAGGCAGCAGUGGGGAAUAUUGCACAAUGGGCGCAAGCCUGAUGCAGCGACGCCGCGUGGGGGAUGACGGCCUUCGGGUUGUAAACCCCUUUCGCCCGGGACGAAGCGAGAGUGACGGUACCGGGAGAAGAAGCACCGGCCAACUACGUGCCAGCAGCCGCGGUAAU
rnacentral:rRNA from 1 species